rnacentral:tRNA from 1 species
GGAGAGGUCGCAUAGUCUGGUCUAGUGCGGGCGCCUGCUAAGCGUCUAAGGGGUGUUAAGCUCCUUCGUGGGUUCAAAUCCCACCCUCUCCGCCA